CGCUGGAACCCGCGCGCCACAAAGCCGCCGGCCCCGCGUUGCCUCCUCUCCCAGGCGUGGGGACCCAGGCCGCAACUGUAGGAAUCGACGCCAGGGCAAUCUAUGCAGAAGAAUGAAUGGGUGAAGCUGGCAUCUUGAAAAGUUGAAGCUGAUAGACUGAAGAAUGCUGAUUACAUAGCCCUGAGGCUGCAGAGAAUUUUUUCUCAGGCAGCCAAGAAGAUGGUGGACAUUGAGACUGAGCAUGCCUAUCACAAGCAGCUGACCAUUGUUCAAAGCAAGAAGAGGAUCCUGCUAAAGGAAACUGGCAAGCUAGGCUUCAGGAGGUCCAAAGAGACUAUUGAGGGCAUCUACACUGACAAGGAAUGCCUGUUCACUGGUAACAUCUCCACUGAGGGCAGAUCCUGUCUGGCAUGGUGACCAAGAUGAAGAUGCAGAGGACCACUGUCAUCCACAGAGACUAUCUCUACUACAUCCACAAGUACAAUUGCUUCGAGAAGUACCACAAGAACAUGUCCAGGCACCUGUUCCCCUGCUUCGGGAUGUCCAGAUCAGCGACAUUGUCAUGCUGGAUAAGUGCCGCUCCCUGAGCAAGACAGUGAACUUCAAUGUGCUCAAAGUCACCAAGGCCACAGACAUCAAGAAGCAAUUCCAUAAGUUCUGAGGCUGAAUGUCUGCCCGCUCCCUGAAAUGAAAUAAAGUUAUUUUUUCAUUCAUACACACAAAA